CCUACGGGGGGCAGCAGUGAGGAAUAUUGGUCAAUGGACGAGAGUCUGAACCAGCCAAGUAGCGUGAAGGAUGACUGCCCUAUGGGUUGUAAACUUCUUUUAUAUGGGAAUAAAACGUUCCACGUGUGGGAUUUUGUAUGUACCAUAUGAAUAAGGAUCGGCUAACUCCGUGCCAGCAGCCGCGGUAAUACGGAGGAUCCGAGCGUUAUCCGGAUUUAUUGGGUUUAAGGGGAGCGUAGGUGGAUUGUUAAGUCAGUUGUGAAAGUUUGCGGCUCAACCGUAAAAUUGCAGUUGAAACUGGCAGUCUUGAGUACAGUAGAGGUGGACGGAAUUCGUGGUGUAGCGGUGAAAUGCUUAGAUAUCACGAAGAACUCCGAUUGCGAAGGCAGUUCACUGGACUGCAACUGACACUGAGGCUCGAAAGUGUGGGUAUCAAACAGGAUUAGAUACCCUUGUAGUC
rnacentral:rRNA from 1 species